ACCCCUUUCUCUUCAUCUCUAACCAACUGAACCAAGCGAUUCCCUUUCAACGUUAACCUGCCACCCCACCUCCCAUCACGUCACCUCACCACCACCACGCCCAUAUCCCCCAAAAUCCGCUACCUACACCCCUCUUCUCUUUUCUCACACUCCAUCUCUGAAGCUUGCAGGAACCAUGUGCAAAUUCAGCAGAUUUCAUGGAAAAUACUAAGUUUUUUGGUUGUCGAAAUCCCCUCCUUCGGUUCUCGACUGAGCAAGGACCAAUCCGAGCGGAUUUGGAGAUUCGACAACUACAGUAGCCUCAGUUCGCUGUCACGAAGAAGGUAAUCACACUCGUCUUCUUUUCGUCUUUAACUUACUAGAAGUGGAAAUGUAGUUUUGUUCAACCAUUUUCUCGUCGUUUGCUUGGUUUGGUUGGCUGGAAUGUGUUCUCUCCUCGUUUGGUGUAAAUUAGUGUAAGGCGACUAAUUUCGUCGAAUAUGUUUUUAACUCCCGUCGCCCCAUCUCUGCUCGCAAAAAGAGUAAUUUUCUUCCUUGCCUUAAAUUUAUUCAGUUCUAUUCGUUUUCGAAUUCCUGUAGGUUAGUUUUGUUCGUUUUAAAAUUAUUCUGCUUUAGUAUGUAAUCCUUAGUUCUUUUCUUUAAAACUAAGUGUGCGAUUAGUAUGUUCAGUUCUUGUUCGCUUUAUCAUUUAAGUUAGACUAAAUUUAAAGUUAUAUAGUGUAGAGAUUGUUCAGUUAAAUGAUAAAGAUUACUGUGUGCAUUUUGACUUGGUAUGGCUAGCUUAGCUCUAUUAUUGAUUAAUGUGACAUGAACCUAGUUAUUGAAAUAGGUGUUUUGGUCUCUAAUGAAUGCCCAGUUUAGCUUCAUUGUGAUGAUGAUUAGUCAUUCGGCAAAUCCCGUCUAGCUCUUAUAACACAUUAUUAGUUGUAAUCUUAUUUUGAGUAGGGCUCUGAGGAGUGUCACUGUUUGUUUUAGCUCGAAUAAGCGUCGAUAAGGUCCCAAAAUGUCUCUCUGUUCUGCUGUGUUAUGGGAUUAGCUCAAAAUAUAUAUUUUUGAAGUGUUAAUGUGUUUAGCUAUCGGUCUGAUUAAAAAGCAACUGUUUUUUUUUUUUACUCAGACAACUACUGUUUUUGGGUUAGAAAGUUGCUGUUUUGAUAUAUAUAUAUAUAUAAAAAAAAGAGCUACUUUUUUUACUAAGACAACUACUGUUUUUUUUGGGUUAGAAAGUUGUUGUUUUGAUAUAGAAAAGCUACCCUUUUUUACUAAGACAACUACUGUUUUUUUUUUGGGUUAGAAAGUUUGCUGUUUUGAUAUAAAAAAAUCUACUUUUUUGUACUAAGACAGCUACUGUUUUUUGAGCCAGUUGCUGCUGCAUUUCAUGCCAUUUACUGCUGCGUUUUAGGCCAUUUUACAGCUGCGUUUUUUGGCAAUUCGCUGCUGAAUUUUGGGCCUAAACAUUGUUGCAUUUUCUACCAUUCUGCUGCUGGGUUUUGAGCCAUGAACGGCCGCAUUUUUGGGCCACGCACAGCUGUGUUUAUAUGGCCGAAUUGCUGCCAUCUUUAAAUCUCUAAGCAUGCUGUUAUAUGGCCGCGGCUUGGUUGCCAUUUGAGCUUGAGAACUGAUGUACUUUGAAAGGGUUGGCACGUGUAUCAUUUAGGGAAAUAACUGCUGCGUGAGCUGCUGCCUUCAUAAAAAAGAAAAAGUCUCUAUGUAAGAUGGCUUCUUCCUAAAAGUGAAUUAUGCUUGUCUAAUACAUAUGUAUGAACCCCUGGGCAGAUGCUUAAAACCAUUAAGUUACGUCAAGAAUUGAUUAGUCACGCUAGGUUAUUGGCACUAGUUUGUUGUAAGCUUUUCUUUACUAAAAAUCUUGAAAAUAGGUGAUUUUGGAUAACAUCUAAAGGACCCUAAGAGUUCAACUUUCUAUUACUAAAAAUGAGACUGGUCUAGCAAUCUAAAGGACCCUAAGAGUUCAACUUUCUAUUACUAAAAAUGAGACUGGUCUAGCAUGCUAUGUUUGUUGAUAUUGAAUGAAAAGUCUGAACUUCUUCAACUUCUUUAUUUUCGUACCACUGCUUGUUGGAAUGGAUUAGAGACUACUUGUCUGGUUCGCAUCUUCUUUUAGAAAACAUGGUUGCAGAAUGUAUAAAUUGGAUUGAAAGUUGCCUUAUGUCAUAUUUUGGAUACAAUGUUAGGGUUCUGUUUCUUCUGUCUCUUUUCGUGCUAACUAGUCGAAGGGAUGUUGUUUAUCUUGUUUGUUGUAUACGCUUAUGUGUUGGAACACCUCUUUAAAGGGCGUAUUGGAGUACUUUUACCAUUGGAAAUCUCUCUAUAGAUUAAUCAAGUUUCUGGGAGUAGUUAGGCUUUGUUAGUUUAAUUUAUUUAUCAUGACAUGCAUUCAACGAUUAAUUAUUUCAUUCCUAUUUGUUAAAAUUAGCCUACUGUUUUCAUUCUUCAAGAGUAUAUUAAAUAAAAAAUAGAAAUGUACUUUUUUUUUAAAAAUGGAAGAGUUACUCUCUGUUCACGCUGUAGAAGUCUCGCCUCGGCUGCUCUAGUUUAAUUAUUAGUGCUAUGCGUAGUUAUAGAACAUAUUGGUAUGUGGCUGAUCUUAAUUACUCUUUAGCAAUAAUCUAACUGUUGAAUCAAUUGGGACCUGCAAUAAUUUUAACGGAAAUAAUCUGUUUGGUCCUCGAGUUGUUUUGUUGCUGGUCAUGAACACAUUAUAUCAGAAGCACAUUUCAAAGUAUUGCAAUGUGAUGUCAGGAGUGGAAUGUUACUUCUUUUAGAAUUAAUACUCGUAUUGUCUAUAUUACCUUCGUUUAACAUGACUUCAUCUCUAGCCAUGAAUAUUAGUAUCUUUAUAUUUUAGUAUUGCAUACACUUAUUCUUCCUUUUGUUCCUUCCAUUUACAUGUACACUUGGGAGCAUUUGGAGCUAUGGAAACUUUGGAUUUUGCCCAUAUCAGAGAGCGGCCAGCAGUAGAUUUAUUUGCUCGUGUCUAGCAGUCCCACCUCGUCCACGUCUCGAGUCUCCGUCCUUCUUCCUUAUUCAAAAUUUUAAGCCUCCAUAUUGUUUGAUACAUGCUAUUUAUAUUAUUUGACUAACACUCUUGUGAAUUUGUAUUUUUGUAGUUUUUGUUUUGAACUCGUAACUUGACUUAAGUAUAUUAGUAAGUUUAGUCAUUAUCUUCCC